rnacentral:rRNA from 1 species
CCUACGGGUGGCAGCAGUGAGGAAUAUUGGUCAAUGGGCGAGAGCCUGAACCAGCCAAGUCGCGUGAAGGAUGACGGCCCUACGGGUUGUAAACUUCUUUUGUCAGGGAGUAAUUGUGUCCACGCGUGGGCUUAGCGAGAGUACCUGAAGAAAAAGCAUCGGCUAACUCCGUGCCAGCAGCCGCGGUAAUACGGAGGAUGCGAGCGUUAUCCGGAUUUAUUGGGUUUAAAGGGUGCGUAGGCGGAAUAUCAAGUCAGCGGUAAAAAUUCGGGGCUAAACCCCGUCGUGCCGUUGAUACUGGUGUUCUUGAGUAGGCGAGAGGUAUGCGGAAUGCGUGGUGUAGCGGUGAAAUGCGUAGAUAUCACGCAGAACUCCGAUUGCGAAGGCAGCCUAC